rfam:Pseudorhodoferax sp. Leaf274 contig_4, whole genome shotgun sequence.
GACGAAUCUAUUGCCCGCCAAGCCCGCGCAUUACCGUGCGCGGGGGAGGGCGGCGAAAAGAGGAAUCC